UACGUAGGGUGCAAGCGUUGUCCGGAAUUAUUGGGCGUAAAGAGCUCGUAGGCGGUUUGUCGCGUCUGCUGUGAAAACGCGAGGCUCAACCUCGCGCCUGCAGUGGGUACGGGCAGACUAGAGUGCGGUAGGGGAGAUUGGAAUUCCUGGUGUAGCGGUGGAAUGCGCAGAUAUCAGGAAGAACACCAAUGGCGAAGGCAGCACUCUGGGACGUGACUGACGCUGAGACGCGAAAGCGUGGGGAGCAAACAGG
rnacentral:rRNA from 1 species